AGGUUGUUGCAAAAGUAAUUGUGGUUUUUGACAUUACUUUUAAUUGCAGUAAAACCCGCAAUUACUUUUGCACCAACC
rnacentral:miRNA from 1 species